UCAAUGCCCAGCAACCACAUGGUGGCUCACAACCAUCUGUAAUGGGCAUCCGAUGCCAUCUCCGGUUGUGUCUGAAGACAAUGAGUGUAAUAUAUAAAAUAAAUAUGGCUGGAGUGAGGUCCCCAGGAACCCAAACUGCUGCUAUUCACAUUUGGGUAGAUAUCUCCAGCGAUGAAUCGGGCCUCACCCGUGUGAUAAUGGAAAGGCACAGAGGUGAAGCAAUCCUCCUGCCUCAGUCUCCCAAGUGGUAGGAUUCCAAGCCAGAGCUACCACCCCCUUAUGCUACCUUAUAGAAAGACUUCGACUGUUGCUUGGCUUGCUCUGCUUGGGGAAAGUGAGCUGCCACCUGGGAGGGCUGCGGGGCAGCCCCUGUGGAGAGAAACUGAGGCUGCCUGCCAAAGGCUAGUGUCUGCUUGCCAAGCAUGAGUCUGAGCCGCUACACCAACGAGCCCGCCAGCAUCCUGGGACAGAGUCACCUAGCCAAGUUACCUUGAAUUCUUGAACUCCAAAGAACAUGAGAGAUGAUACAUUACCAUUAUUCUAUUCAUUACAUUUUGGGGAUUAUUUAUUAUGUAACAUUAUAUAAUAAAUAUAUUGAAAUUCUUAUGUAAGUUGAA